AUGUGAAGUUGGAUUUCGGAUUAGUUGCUAAAUUUGUAUUGAAUGAGCUUCCAAUUUAUGAAAUAGCUCUUUUCAUUCAUUGAGUUGCUUUUAUUACUCAGUUGCAUGAACAAAUGGCUAACUCAAUGUUGUACGCUCUGAUCCGAGUCAACGAUUUCGAAAGGAUACAAGACUGAUUGUCAGUCAGCGUUCGUAUUCUGGACCUGAGCCGAGCGAGACUACCCCCCGAACUUAAGCAUAUCAAUAAGGGGAGGAAAAGAAACUAACCGGGAUUCCCUUAGUAACGGCGAGUGAACUGGGAAAAGCUCAAACCUAAAUCGACUUGUUUCGAAGUGUGGGGUUUGGGACCUUGUCUGCAACUUGUGAUACAAAUUAUGUAAGCUUGCUGGAAUGCAACACCGUAGAGGGUGACAGUCCCGUUACAUUGGUAGUGCCACCAGUAAUGGCUUGGUCUCUGGAGUCGAGUUGUUUGUAAAUGCAACUCAAAGAUGGAGAUAUGCCUCUCCAAAAGCUAAAUAUCAGUACGAGUCCGAUAGCGAACAAGUACCGUGAGGGAAAGUUGAAAAGCACUUUGAAAAGAGAGUGAAAAGUACGUGAAACCGUUAAGAGGCAAACUAAUGGGAUGUCAAAGUGCUCUAAUGCUGUGCUUUGAGUGUAGUGAGAAGAGCCGAAGUUGCUUUAGCGUUGGUGACAUACUUUCAGCCGGUCAACUCAGUAAUGGGUUGCCGGUGAAGUGUGGCAGUAGCUGCACGACAAUAACGCUAAAGGUGAGACGAAACUACCGAAAUUCAGCUUCGUUUCGGUGUCCUAUUUGACCCGUCUUGAAACACGGACCAAGGAGUCUGCGUGACUCGCAAGUUAUAGAGCAUAUUGAAUGCUCAGGGGCGCAAUGAAAGUGAAAGACUGCUUUGUGUAGUCAAGUGUGGUGAUAGCGCCUUGGAGGCGACUGGCAGCCACGGGCGGUCGACCAGUAAAGGUCGUACUGACUUGUAGCGAGUCGCUCAGGACCCGAAAGAUGGUGAUCUAUGCUUGGACAGGGCGAAGCCACGGGAAACCAUGGUGGAGGCCCGAAGCGGUUCUGACGUGCAAAUCGAUCGUCUGAUCCGAGUAUAGGGGCGAAAGACUAAUCGAACCAUCUAGUAGCUGGUUCCCUCCGAAGUUUCCCUCAGGAUAGCUAAGACAGGUAACUUAAAGCAGUUUUAUCGGGUAAAGCGAAUGAUUAGAGGCAUGGGGGAAGCCUAUUCCUCCACCUAUUCUCAAACUUUAAAUCGGUAAGAUGCCCUUGUGUCUUAAUUGCACCUGGGCAGAGAGAAUGCAAAGGUCUUUAGUGGGCCGUUUUUGGUAAGCAGAACCGGCGAUGUGGGAUGAACCAAACGUUUAGUUAAGGCGCCUAACGGCGUGCUCAUGAGCAACCACAAAAGGUGUUGAUUGGUAUAGACAGCAGGACGGUGGCCAUGGAAGUCGGAACCCGCUAAGGAGUGUGUAACAACUCACCUGCCGAAUCAAUCAGCCCUGAAAAAGGAUGGCGCUAGAGCACGCGGCCUAUACUCAACCAUGAGCAGCAAAGGCAAAUAACUUCUUAGUUGCUUGGCACUUCGGUAUUAGUUACGAAGGUUGUGUAUUUGAAAAAUGGUAGUGACUAACUUGAAUUCUGCUCAUGAGUAGGAGGGUGCAGAGGUCGCGUCGAAGCGUGGGCGUGAGCUUGCGUGGAGCUGUCUCUGGUACAGAUCUUGGUGGUAGUAGCAAACACUCAAGUGAGAGCCUUGAGGGCCGAAGCGGGGAAGGCUUCCAUGUGAACAGCAAUUGGACAUGGGUUAGUCGGUCCUAAGCGGCAGGCGAAAGCUAUUUGAAUUGAGGACUGACUAUCUUCAGUGCCGCGAAAGGGAAUCGGGUUAAUAUUCCCGAACCUUUCCUAUCGGUUUACGGCGGUAACGCUAACGCGCCUGGAGAUGACGGCAGGAACCCGGGGAAGAGUUCUCUUUUCUUUUUAACAGACGUCCGCAUCCUUGGAAUGGGUUUAUCCCGAGAUAAGGUGCACAGUCUGGCAGAGCACAGCAGCAUUUGCUGUGUCCCGAGUGGUCUUGACGUCCCUUGAAAAUCCGGGAACGUAAAUACCAAUAGGCUAGGCCGUACCCACAACCGCAUCAGGUCCCCGAGGUGAGGAGCCUCUGGCCUUGAAACAGUGUAGGUAAGGGAAGUCGGCAAAAUAGAUCCGUACCUUCGGAAAAAGGAUUGGCUCUGAGGAUUGGGUGUUGCAAGCCUUAGGUUUGAAGUUGUUGCUUGUUUGUCGGUUGGGAGACCCUUUAUUGGGUAUCUCGCUGACGGGGGGCGGUCACUGAAAAGUCUCUGGUAUUAUCUGCUAUGCGUUAAACAAUCGAGCUCAGAACUGGCUCGGACAAGGGGAAUCCGACUGUUUAAUUAAAACAAAGCAUUGCGAUGGCUGGUGACUGGUGUUGACGCAAUGUGAUUUCUGCCCAGUGCUCUGAAUGUCAAAGUGAAGAAAUUCAAAUAAGCGCGGGUAAACGGCGGGAGUAACUAUGACUCUCUUAAGGUAGCCAAAUGCCUCGUCAUCUAAUUAGUGACGCGCAUGAAUGGAUUAACGAGAUUCCCACUGUCCCUAUCUACUAUCUAGCGAAA
rnacentral:rRNA from 1 species